rnacentral:rRNA from 1 species
UACGUAGGGAGCAAGCGUUGUUCGGAUUACUGGCGUAAGGCGCGUAGGCGCAUAUUAAGUCAUCUGUGAAUCUCCGAGCUUACUCGGAACUGUCAGCUGAUACUGAUGUGCUAGAGUGCGAGCAUCGAUCUGUGUAGCGUGAAUGACGUAGAUAUCAGAGACACUGAUGAGACUGCUGAGACACUGACGCUGAGUGACGCGA